rfam:Rattus norvegicus chromosome 4, whole genome shotgun sequence.
UAGGGAGGUCAGGGCCAGAAGCCCCCCCCUGAGCCCAGGGUAACGCUUAAAGUUGGGGGGCA